UAGGGAAUAUUGGACAAUGGGGGCAACCCUGAUCCAGCCAUGCCGCGUGAGUGAAGAAGGCCCUCGGGUUGUAAAGCUCUUUUGUCCGGAAAGAAAAGCAUUCGGUGAAUACCCGGAUGUUCUGACGGUACCGGAAGAAUAAGCACCGGCUAACUUCGUGCCAGCAGCCGCGGUAAUACGAAGGGUGCAAGCGUUACUCGGAAUUACUGGGCGUAAAGCGUGCGUAGGUGGUUGUUUAAGUCUGAUGUGAAAGCCCUGGGCUCAACCUGUGAAUGGCAUUGGAAACUGGGCAGCUAGAGUGCGGUAGAGGGUAGUGGAAUUCCCGGUGUAGCAGUGAAAUGCGUAGAGAUCGGGAGGAACAUCUGUGGCGAAGGCGACUGCCUGGACCAGCACUGACACUGAGGCACGAAAGCGUGGGGAGCAAACA
rnacentral:rRNA from 1 species